rnacentral:rRNA from 1 species
UACGUAGGGCGCGAGCGUUGUCCGGAUUUAUUGGGCGUAAAGAGCUCGUAGGCGGCUUGUCGCGUCGACCGUGAAAACUUGGGGCUCAACCCCAAGCCUGCGGUCGAUACGGGCAGGCUCGAGUUCGGUAGGGGAGACUGGAAUUCCUGGUGUAGCGGUGAAAUGCGCGGAUAUCAGGAGGAACACCAGUGGCGAAGGCGCCGCUCUGGGCCGGAACUGACGCUGAGGAGCGAAAGUGUGGGGAGCGAACAGG